AGAGUAUGAUCCUGGCUCAGAACGAACGCUGGCGGCGUGGAUAAGACAUGCAAGUCGAACGAGAUUUUUCGUUGUAGCAAUAUGAUGGAAAAUUUAGUGGCGAACGGGUGCUUAACACGUGGGCAACCUGCCAAGAAGUGGGGGAUAGCUCGCCGAAAGGCGAAUUAAUACCGCAUGUGAUUAGAGAGGACAUCUUUUCAAAAUUAAAGUCGGGGCAACCUGACGCUUCUUGUGGGGCACGCGGCCUAUCAGCUAGUUGGUGAGGUAACGGCUCACCAAGGCUUUGACGGGUAGCUGGUCUGAGAGGACGACCAGCCACACUGGGACUGAGACACGGCCCAGACACCUACGGGUGGCAGCAGUCGAGAAUUUUUGACAAUGGGGGAAACCCUGAUCGAGCGACGCCGCGUGGAGGAUGAAGGUCUUCGGAUUGUAAACUCCUGUCAUUGGGGAACAAGGUGCAUACGUUAACUGCGUGUGCAUUGAUAGUACCCGAAGAGGAAGAGACGGCUAACUCUGUGCCAGCAGCCGCGGUAAUACAGAGGUCUCAAGCGUUGUUCGGAUUCAUUGGGCGUAAAGGGUGCGUAGGCGGCGCGGUAAGUCGGGUGUGAAAUCUCGGAGCUUAACUCCAAAACUGCAUUCGAUACUGCCGUGCUUGAGGACUGGAGAGGAGACUGGAAUUUACGGUGUAGCGGUGAAAUGCGUAGAUAUCGUAAGGAAGACCAGUGGCGAAAGCGGGUCUCUGGACAGUUCCUGACGCUGAGGCACGAAGUCAGGGAGCAAACGGGAUUAGAUACCCCGGUAGUCCUGACAGUAAACGGUGCACGUUUGGUGUGGGAGGAUUCGACCCUUCUGCGCGGAGCUAACGCGUUAAACGUGCCGCCUGGGGAGUACGUCGCAGAUUAAACUCAAAGAAAUUGA
rnacentral:rRNA from 1 species